UACGAAGGGGGCUAGCGUUGCUCGGAAUCACUGGGCGUAAAGCGCACGUAGGCGGAUCUUUAAGUCAGGGGUGAAAUCCUGGAGCUCAACUCCAGAACUGCCUUUGAUACUGAGGAUCUCGAGUCCGGAAGAGGUGAGUGAACUCCGAGUGUAGAGGUGAAAUUCGUAGAUAUUCGGAAGAACACCAGUGGCGAAGGCGGCUCACUGGUCCGGUACUGACGCUGAGGUGCGAAAGCGUGGGGAGCAAACAGG
rnacentral:rRNA from 1 species